GGUGUGUUGACCGAGUGGUUAUGGUGCUGGCUUCAGGUGCCAGUGGGUAAAACCGCGUGGGUUCAAAUCCCACACACAUCA
rfam:Naegleria gruberi genomic scaffold NAEGRscaffold_280, whole genome shotgun sequence.